UACGGGGGGGGCAAGCGUUGUUCGGAAUUACUGGGCGUAAAGGGCUCGUAGGCGGCCAACUAAGUCAGACGUGAAAUCCCUCGGCUUAACCGGGGAACUGCGUCUGAUACUGGAUGGCUUGAGGUUGGGAGAGGGAUGCGGAAUUCCAGGUGUAGCGGUGAAAUGCGUAGAGAUCGUAAGGAAGACCAGUGGCGAAGGCGGGUCUCUGGACAGUUCCUGGCACUGAGGCACGAAGGCCAGGGGAGCAAACGGG
rnacentral:rRNA from 1 species